rnacentral:tRNA from 1 species
GGGGAUGAUAGCCAAAGUGGUACGGCAAAAAUCAGCAGGUAGUAGUUGUGCUUUUUUUUCAUAUCGUCAUGUUGUAUUUGUAAUCAUAUUUCUUGGGAGUUCGAUUCUCCCCAUCCCCA